ACCAAGCCAAUCAGGACUUCUUGUGAAAAGUAUGAUGCUACAUGUUUUAAAAGUUUAAUGUUCGAGUGUUAACGUUACAGUUUAUAUCACAGCGGACAGCAAGGUCACUACAGGAAAGAUCGACAGCUAGCCAUGUACAAUUCCUGUGCAUGGAGCGAAGGCAUUUGUAUAGGACACCCAGCAGCUGAGAGAUGUGCAAAACAGUGUUGCGUUUGGAAGUAGUGAGAGGGACAAUUUGAGACUGAGCAUCAUCACGGAUUUUUUAAGUUAAGGAAAUUCUGCCUGACCUCUGAUUGAUUGAGCUGCCAAGUUUUGAAAGUACAUAGCAAUGAGAAACAUCCAGAGUCUACAAGCAAAAAGCAUCC